ACGCAGGUAAAACAAAGAUAUAAGCAAAUUUCCAUACUGAAAUUUGAAUACUGAGGAAAACGGCUUGGGGAAGAGGGCUGUUGGGAAACAGCAAAAUACACG